rnacentral:rRNA from 1 species
AACGAACGCUGGCGGCAGGCUUAACACAUGCAAGUCGAACGCAUCCUUCGGGGUGAGUGGCAGACGGGUGAGUAACGCGUGGGAACGUGCCCUUCAGUUCGGGAUAACCCAGGGAGACUUGGGCUAAUACCGGAUACGUGCGAGAGCAGAAAGAUUUAUCGCCGAAGGAUCGGCCCGCGUCUGAGUAGCUAGUUGGUGGGGUAAUGGCCCACCAAGGCGACGAUCAGUAGCUGGUCUGAGAGGAUGAUCAGCCACAUUGGGACUGAGACACGGCCCAAACUCCUACGGGAGGCAGCAGUGGGGAAUAUUGGACAAUGGGCGCAAGCCUGAUCCAGCCAUGCCGCGUGAGUGAUGAAGGCCUUAGGGUUGUAAAGCUCUUUCGUCCGGGACGAUAAUGACGGUACCGGAAGAAGAAGCCCCGGCUAACUUCGUGCCAGCCGCCGCCGUAAGAC